rnacentral:rRNA from 1 species
GGUUGUCGUCAGCUCGUGUCGUGAGGAUGUUGGUUAAGUCCCGCAACGAGCGCAACCCCUAUUGUUAGUUGCCAUCAUUCAGUUGGGCACUCUAGCGAGACUGCCGGUAAUAAACCGGAGGAAGGUGGGGAUGACGUCAAAUCAUCAUGCCCCUUAUGACCUGGGCUACACACGUGCUACAAUGGUUGGUACAACGAGUUGCGAGUCGGUGACGGCGAGCUAAUCUCUUAAAGCCAAUCUCAGUUCGGAUUGUAGGCUGCAACUCGCCUACAUGAAGUCGGAAUCGCUAGUAAUCGCGGAUCAGCACGCCGCGGUGAAUACGUUCCCGGGCCUU